rnacentral:rRNA from 1 species
GGAUGAACGCUGGCGGCGUGCCUAAUACAUGCAAGUCGAGCGAACAGACGAGGAGCUUGCUCCUCUGACGUUAGCGGCGGACGGGUGGGUAACACGUGGAUAACCUACCUAUAAGACUGGGAUAACUUCGGGAAACCGGAGCUAAUACCGGAUAAUAUAUUGAACCGCAUGGUUCAAUAGUGAAAGACGGUUUUGCUGUCACUUAUAGAUGGAUCCGCGCCGCAUUAGCUAGUUGGUAAGGUAACGGCUUACCAAGGCAACGAUGCGUAGCCGACCUGAGAGGGUGAUCGGCCACACUGGAACUGAGACACGGUCCAGACUCCUACGGGAGGCAGCAGUAGGGAAUCUUCCGCAAUGGGCGAAAGCCUGACGGAGCAACGCCGCGUGAGUGAUGAAGGUCUUCGGAUCGUAAAACUCUGUUAUUAGGGAAGAACAAAUGUGUAAGUAACUAUGCACGUCUUGACGGUACCUAAUCAGAAAGCCACGGCUAACUACGUG